GGUUAAGUGACUAAGCGUACACGGUGGAUGCCUGGGCAGUCAGAGGCGAUGAAGGACGUACUAACUUGCGAUAAGCGCAGAUAAGGCAGUAAGAGCCGUUUGAGUCUGCGAUUUCCGAAUGGGGAAACCCAACUGCAUAAGCAGUUACUGUUAACUGAAUACAUAGGUUAACAGAGCAAACCGGGGGAACUGAAAC
rnacentral:rRNA from 1 species